UGCAAAAAUCAUAUAAGCUCGAAUGUAUUGGAUCCCAUCAGAACUCCGCAGUCGAGCGAGCGUGCUUGAGUGAGAGUAGUGUUAAAAUGGGUGAUCUCAGAAAUCAUCUUGUUGCAA
rnacentral:rRNA from 1 species